GGGGACAUCCUCUAGUGGUAAGAGGCGAUCUUAGCAGUCUUACCUGAUCUGGUCGCAACCGGCGUUCGAUUCGCCGUGUCUCCA